rnacentral:lncRNA from 1 species
CUUUUGCUUAACCAAUCAAGACUAUAAAAAUAAUAUUUUGGGAUUUUUGAAUUUAAACUAUGGAAAAAUAAACAUGAAUGCAAUUUGAUCAAUUGAGGUUAAACACAAAACAAUGGAUGAAUGGAUGUUGUUGGGGGUUUACAAUUUCAUCUAAUCCGCUCUCUCUUACAUAUUACCCUUGAAUAUUAGUUUGAUUAAUUGUUAUGCGACUUUCUUAGCCUCCCCUUAACCCGAUCCCUCGGCGAAAAGGGCCUAAUAUUAAUUAUUGGCUUGCUAUCCCUAGCCUCCCCUAGUAAUUAAUACCGCAUUAUAAACAAAAGUUAGCGCAAUUGAUCGUCCUACCCCUAUCCCUAGGUGGUAUUGCAAAAUCA